AUGAUGAUUUUUGCCACAUCCAGGUCAACAGGAGCAAUGGUUGAGAGACCAUCUCAAUUAAGGCUCGACAGGGUUGCACAACAUGCCUCUGUGCAGAGAGAAAAGACUCAAGAAAACCUGCCUCCUCUUGCCUCUAGACAGGCCGCCAUGUUGCUAGAUAUAUUUGAGACAAACAUGAACGUGAUACGCUCAAGGUCAUUAACUAUGGGUGGAAGAUCAGUAGACUAG